rnacentral:rRNA from 1 species
GACGAACGCUGGCGGCGUGCUUAACACAUGCAAGUCGAACGAUGAAGAAGAGAAACGCGAACUUCGGUUCAAAUUUCACUUCGGAUUAGUGGCAGACGGGUGAGUAACGCGUGAGCAACCUACCUCUUACAAAGGGAUAGCCUCGGGAAACCGUGAUUAAUACCAUAUGACACAUUCAUAAGGCAUCUUAAGAAUGUUAAAGCUACGGCGGUAAGAGAUGGGCUCGCGUCCCAUUAGCUAGUUGGUGAGGUAACGGCCCACCAAGGCGACGAGGGGUAACCGGCCUGAGAGGGUGAACGGUCACAUUGGAACUGAGACACGGUCCAAACUCCUACGGGAGGCAGCAGUGGGGAAUAUUGCACAAUGGAGGGAACUCUGAUGCAGCGACGCCGCGUGAGCGAUGAAGGAAUUCGUUUCGUAAAGCUCUGUUCUAUGGGAAGAAAAGGACUGUACCAUAGGAGAAAGCCCCGGCUAAAUACGUG